rnacentral:rRNA from 1 species
UUCGCUGACGAGUGGCGGACGGGUGAGUAAUGUCUGGGAAACUGCCUGAUGGAGGGGGAUAACUACUGGAAACGGUAGCUAAUACCGCAUAACGUCGCAAGACCAAAGAGGGGGACCUUCGGGCCUCUUGCCAUCGGAUGUGCCCAGAUGGGAUUAGCUAGUAGGUGGGGUAACGGCUCACCUAGGCGACGAUCCCUAGCUGGUCUGAGAGGAUGACCAGCCACACUGGAACUGAGACACGGUCCA